ACAUCGUGGACCCCGUACGAGUUUGCACAGUGUAUAGCAGUACUAUGCGUGUCGUUGUUUUCUGAUUUUUUUUUUUUUUUAAUUAUUAUUAUCACGAUAUUAUAUUGUAUCGCGCGGCGCAUUAUUAAUGGCCAUUAACGAUCGAAACGCACGUCGUUCUUCGUAAGGUUCGCAUAGGUUUUGUAACGGCGACCGUCAAUUGCGCCGGGUGUGGGGACGCUACCUGUAUUGUAUGUAUACAUCUAUCGCGCCGGUACAAAAAAGGCGUGCAUCGAUCGCGCCGA